UUUUUUUUUUUUUUUUUUUUGCAUUAAGAUCCCAACUGGUUACAAGGGUCUAUGAUUAUUGGUGUGAAAAAAAAAUCCUCGUAAAUACGGGCACAUACACUAUCCAAAUGACUAAAUAAGUUAUAGCCACAUUAUUUCUUGGAAGAAUUUGUAAAUGCAAGAUUGUUUUCGUGAGCCUGACCCAGCCUCCCGACUGUGAAAGGUAAGAUUCUUGACUUGUGUGUACAGUCAUUUGCCUUGAAGAUAAAAUCAUGUUCAUCACUAGAGGGCGUGGCUUGCUGACAUUUGACAGAGAACUACAAACUCUUCCCUCCCUGGGUGGAAUUCAUUUGGAAGCAUUUCAAGAAUGUUAUUUUUCUUAAGUUUUCUGUUUGGAGGACAGGAAGCAGGUAACUGCAAGAGAGGAGCUAUCCUAUUUCUUUAGUGUGUUACAAGGCUCUGGAAAUCUACCUUUCUCUACCGGCUUGUAUCCUCUUUACUGCUUUGACAGAAAGGCGCAAGCCUGUUGCCACUCUUGUUGGACAAGUAAGAAACAAAGGUAGAGACAUAUGACUUGUCUACCCAAGUCAGGGUUCCUCUAGAUUCAUAGAGAAUGAAUGCUUGCUCUCUCUGUUUUUGUUUUGUUUUGUUUUGUUUUGUUUUGUUUUGUUUUGUUUUGUUUUGUUUUCGAGACAGGGUUUCUCUGUAUAGCCCUGGCUGUCCUGGAACUCACGUUGUAGACCAGGCUGGCCUCAAACUCAGUAAUCGGCCUGCCUCUGCCUCCCGAGUGCUGGGAUUAAAGGCGUGCACUACCACUGCCCGGCUCUCUCUGGUUUUAUAUAAGCAUUUUUGUGGGACAUGCGUUUACAUAGGACAAGGAACCUUAGCUGGCCAUUUGCUAAGAGUAGACAGGCACACCGAGGGGUUCUCGGUUUGGCAGGAUUUCAGGGGCCAGACAAUUUGGGAUUUAAAACUGUCAGCAAAAGAAGCAAUACUCAGGCCAUUUACGUUUGCUUAGCAAGGAACAAAUCUGGAAUGCACAGAUACUGUAGAAGAGAUGGCAUUUGGAGAGGGUUCCUUUCCUCUUUUUUGGGAGGGGGGAUUGUCACAUGGGUAAUUAAGGGAGAAGGUAAACAAAGAAUGCUAAAAUUCUUUCAAUGAUGAUGAUAAAGCAAAGUGAUAGACAGAUGACAUCACAUCCUUUCGAAACUCAUCACUGAGCUAUGGGGAUGAGAGUUAAUGCUUCAUUAGCUAAUGUGCCUCCUUGCAAGCAUCUCCUAUGCAUCUCUCCAUUUCACAUAUAUGACAUAUUCACUGUGUCAAAGAGGAUUUAUUGUCUUUAUUGGUCUCUGUGUGUGUGCACGUACACACUGUGGUUUUAGGGUCUUGGAGUUUACUCUGUUUGCCUCUUAGUGAGGUUAUUGAUAAUGUUUUUUUUUUGUUUUUUGUUUUGUUUUUGUUUUUUGUUUUGGCCUUUAGUUGUUUAUGAUAUCUUAGUCACUUCAUUUUUUAAGAAAUGAAAUGUAAGAGGUAAAAAUCAAACCCCGCCAGCUCUUUCAGCAGUUGUGAGCUAGGUGCAUGAACACGUUAAAUCUAUUGUUAAAUUUGAGUUUGUGGUUAUUUUAACUCAGCCAUCUUGCUUUUCCUGGUCAAGCAUUCAUUCAGUUGGAUAACAUAAUUCACAUAACAAAGUCCAUGUCCACUUGUAUCAUUUCCUUCUGAGUUUAUUUUCUUGGCCCCACCUUUGCAAGUCUCUAGGCUGUGUUCCCUCUCACACUGUUGAGUGGUUGGUAGAGGCUCAACGUAAUGGUCGAUAAUGGCAGUGCCAGGAUGUCUUGGAGACUGUUUUAGAGCAAGCUGAGGGCCCAAGCUUGGUACUUUUUAUAGGAGGCAGAGUAGUGGUGCAGGCUUUCACGUCGCACUGCCGCCGAAGCACCUGUGCAGUGAGAGGAAUCAGCUAAAUUACUAGACAUAAUUGAUGUUUGUGCAAAACAUAGAACAUUUGUUUUUCUCUCCUUGUGGUUAAUGCUCAGCUUGAUAAUUUAAAUAAGACCUUUUCCUCUCUCUUCCCAUCUCUCUCUACAUUCUAUUACACACAUUUUCCCCCCUUAGCCUCUGUCCCCUGGGCACUAACAGUUGCUAAGUGCUUCUUAUGGAGGAUAAUAUAUUUAGGAAGCAAUUUUCAUUCAAGACGGUAAUGCUACCUGGCCCCCUUUCUAGAACGGAGGCGUUUGAGAAAUGCAGAUAUGAUACAGUUAUCUCUCCCAAGUAGAGUCAUUUGAGAGUGGAUGCACGUAAUAUAUAGUUUUUAAUAAUCUUUCUGCUCUGGAGCAUAAACUGGCCUGUGAGCAGGAUGGCCCGAUGAAACUCGCUUUCCUGUAAACAUGGCUUGAGCCGAGUCAGCCAAUUUCAAGGCAGAUUAGUGUCAGUGCAGAGACCGGGAUAAAUAGGUGGUGAACAUCCCUUGAAGAAAAGAAAAGUCGUGAGAAGAUCCUCUCUGAGGACCUGAGAGUACAAUGGGUGACUGGAGUGAGCCUCCCUGUUGUGGAUGCUGAGUAUAGGUCGACGUGCCAGAUGACCCGGUAGCUGCCUGUAUGGUUUUUGUUUUUGCUUUUUGUUUUUCCCCACAAAACUAGAAAUCUAGCUAUAUACAAUCAAUCAAACACACAAACAAACAAAUAAACACCAAACCUAAACCCUAACUCAGACCAUUUAAGCUACAUAUAAAAUUGAACACUCUUUCCAGAAGCUAAAUUGAUGUGUGUGACUGAUUUUUUUCACCAACUUAUAUUUUUAGGUGAGUUAGCCCAACACAGGAGAGAGAGAGAGAGAGAGAGAGAGAGAGAGAGGGAGAGGGAGGGAGGAGAGAGAGAUAUUUUGUGAAUUUUCAGCUUUAUCGUUGCACAUAUUACAUGAUGUAGCUCUCUCAACCUGCCUGGCUUCCAUUCCGUUCUCCUGUGUGUGUGUUGAAUUGUAGCCCAGUUCCUGGCCCCUUGGGCCUUUGAGUCAUUAGCAUGUUGUCCCCUUGUCUUCCCCCAAUGUCUCCUCUGCAGGGAUUGUUUUUGUAGUGAUAUGGAGUGGCAACUCCAGGGGAGACAACAGUUCUCCUAGCUUAAAAUUCUAUCUGAAAAGACAAGCAGGCAAGUGGCCUAUUCCGUUCUCUUAGAACAGGAUCGAUGGUUGCGGUUGCGUACAAUCUCGGGUUUGGUUUUCCUAACCUUGAAAACCCUAAACCUAAUUUCUGCCCCCUCUCUUCUUCUUUUCCACCCCAGCAUGUAAGUAGGUUAAGAAGUCUUUGGAGAGUCCUGAAAUAACUUCCAGGUUUCUUCGGAGGCCAAGAGGCUUCCACGUCUACUCUUUUCCCAAUUUUCCAUUCAAAGAGGGAGGAGGGAAGCCGGUCUCUUACCAGACAUGCUGUUUUGUGAGUGUUGUCAAAGUGGGUUUCAGGUAACAUUACUGUUCCCUUCAGUUGCCUAGCCAUGUCAUUCUCCUUUAUUCAUUUUUCUGAGGUAUAGUUGAAAAUAAACAUGGUCGCUAAUACGCUAUAUUCUUUCAAUCUUCAUUGACAGGCUGGGAAUUUCCCCGGAGAAAUAACCAAGUUGAUCCUUCUAUGUUUAUGUAAGAUUGCCCCUCGUCAUAUCUGAGAGACAGCUGUCAAUGUUUUGAUUUAUUUGUCUAGAAAUAGAGGCUUCAUUGUGCUCUUGGGUGAGACAUCAGUAUGCUUGAAGGGUAGACGCUAUUGAGGGUGGAAUUAUCUCUAAUUUUUAAUCUACGUUCUUUGUUUCUUUUGAACAAACAUUCCCUUUGGUGCAUUUGGGGGCUGGAGGGAGGUGGUUUCGCAGUUUUGAGCACAGGUUACUCUUACAGGGUACCUGGGUUCAACUCCUAGCACCCACAUAGCAGUUCAUAACCAGGUCUAUGGGAACUGUUGCCGUGUUCCUACAGCAGGCACAUAUUUGGUAUGUGGACACACAUGCAGGCAAAAUCCUCACACAUAUGAAAUAAAACAAUCUGAAACAAACAAACAAGAAUCUUGGUGUAUUUUUAUAAAAGUGAGGCUGUUGGAGGUAUUUCCCAUUGGCUUGUAUCAUACAGUUGAAAACCAUGUUUAAACACCCCUGAUUUUUGAUAUACACACUGACAGAGAAGUAAUGAUUGGGGCAGAGAGUUGUGAAGGAACUUGUCAGAUAGGAGCACCGUGGGGGUGCUAGAAGAGUCUGUGCUUUUGGUAUGUGGAGGGAGCAGUGUGUCCUACAGUUUUACUCCUUGUUUGUCCUGGUGCUCCCUGUUCAUGCUUGUGAGUCCUCCCUGGACCUCACUCCUUCUUUUAGCUGACUUAUAUGGGGCUAUUUAUUUAUUUAUCUCAGGAGUCCUAAUUUGAGCUGGAAAUGUGUUUUAUCAUUUUUUUUUUUUGGUCCAGUUCUCUGUGGGAAAACACAGCAUACAUCGGGUUUCUCCGUAUGAGGUACUUUUUUUUUAAAAACAAAACAAAACAAAACAAAACAUUACUGU
rnacentral:lncRNA from 1 species